GGGCUCGCGAAACCGAAAACCGAAAAAAACCGCACCGAUACCCGAACCGAAGCCGAAAAAAACCGCACCGAAAAAAACCGCACCGAAAAGCCAAAAACCGCACCGCACCGAAUCUGGUCGGUUCGGUUUUCGGUUUCGGCCCGGUCGAAACCGAACCGCACCGAAAAACCGAACUCCCCAUAAUCCGGCUUUGUAUAAUGCAUAUAUAUGUGGAAAUGUGAAUCAAUAGACGGAAACCCUAAAAGCGUAAAAGAGUAAAAAACACAUUCCGCGUCCGCCUCUCUCACUCAAACAGUCAGACUAUACUUCUCUCUCUCUCUCUCAGUCUCAGAUCGCGAUUCGACCUCAGCCCCGACCCCGAGUCUCUCCCUCUCCCUCUCUCUGUGACCUCUGUCUUGAUCACGCUUCGACCUCAGUCCCCAGUGUCGGCGUGAACGACCUCUCUCUCUGACCUCUGUCACAAUUUCAUAACGUCGGUGGUCGUCGUCUCUCUCGCUACUUCGCCGGAAGUCG
rnacentral:lncRNA from 1 species